ensembl:snRNA U6 U6 spliceosomal RNA
GUGCUUACUUGAGCAGCACAUAUACUAAAAAUUGAAACAAUACAGAAAAGAUUAGCAAGUCCCCUGCACAAGGAUGAUACACAAAUUUGUGAAGCAUUCUAUAUUUUA